UGAUGAUGGUGAGGGCAAUUCCUAAGCAUACCCUUAAACCCUUCCCAAGCUUAGUAAAGAUUUUUUCCUUCUUUCUGCCUGAAACUCAGAAACUCUCUUCUCAAAUA
rfam:Capsicum annuum cultivar Zunla-1 chromosome 12, whole genome shotgun sequence